AAUUAUAUGACUGGAAUCUUAAAGGU
rnacentral:piRNA from 1 species